CUUUACUGUAGCUUUGUAUUGAAUUUUGAACAGAUCUGUGUAGGAUAGGUGGGAGGCUUUGAAGCAGGGUCGCUAGAUCUUGUGGAGCCAACGUUGAAAUACCACCCUGGUGUGUUUGAGGUUCUAACCUAGGUCCAUUAUCUGGAUCGGGGACAGUGCAUGGUAGGCAGUUUGACUGGGGCGGUCUCCUCCCAAAGUGUAACGGAGGAGUUCGAAGGUACGCUAGGUACGGUCGGACAUCGUGCUAAUAGUGCAAUGGCAUAAGCGUGCUUAACUGCGAGACUGACAAGUCGAGCAGAUGCGAAAGCAGGACAUAGUGAUCCGGUGGUUCUGUAUGGAAGGGCCAUCGCUCAACGGAUAAAAGGUA
rnacentral:rRNA from 1 species